UAACCUGCCUUGUAGCGGGGGAUAACUAUUGGAAACGAUAGCUAAUACCGCAUAACAAUGGGUGACACAUGUCAUUUAUUUGAAAGGGGCAAUUGCUCCACUACAAGAUGGACCUGCGUUGUAUUAGCUAGUAGGUGAGGUAACGGCUCACCUAGGCGACGAUACAUAGCCGACCUGAGAGGGUGAUCGGCCACACUGGGACUGAGACACGGCCCAGACUCCUACGGGAGGCAGCAGUAGGGAAUCUUCGGCAAUGGGGGCAACCCUGACCGAGCAACGCCGCGUGAGUGAAGAAGGUUUUCGGAUCGUAAAGCUCUGUUGUAAGUCAAGAACGAGUGUGAGAGUGGAAAGUUCACACUGUGACGGUAGCUUACCAGAAAGGGACGGCUAACUACGUGCCAGCAGCCGCGGUAAUACGUAGGUCCCGAGCGUUGUCCGGAUUUAUUGGGCGUAAAGCGAGCGCAGGCGGUUUGAUAAGUCUGAAGUUAAAGGCUGUGGCUCAACCAUAGUUCGCUUUGGAAACUGUCAAACUUGAGUGCAGAAGGGGAGAGUGGAAUUCCAUGUGUAGCGGUGAAAUGCGUAGAUAUAUGGAGGAACACCGGUGGCGAAAGCGGCUCUCUGGUCUGUAACUGACGCUGAGGCUCGAAAGCGUGGGGAGCGAA
rnacentral:rRNA from 1 species